GGUUGUGGCUCAGAGGUAGAGCCCUACGCCUAGCAUUCGUGAGGCACUGGGUUCGAUCCUCAGUACCA
rnacentral:tRNA from 1 species